GAUGAACGCUGACAGAAUGCUUAACACAUGCAAGUCAACUGGAACUUCGGUUUGGGUGUCGGACGGGUGAGUAACGCUUAAAGAACUUGCCUCACAGCUAGGGACAACAUUUGGAAACGAAUGCUAAUACCGGAUAUUAUGAUUAUAUGGCAUCUUCUACUUAUGAAAGCUAUAUGCGCUGUGAGAGAGCUUUGCGUCCAAUUAGCGAGGUGGUGAGGUAACAGCUCACGCAGGAGAUGAUGGGUAGCCGGCCUGGGAGGGUGAUAGGCCACAAGGGGACUGAGAAACGGCCCGUACGCAAAAGGGAGGAAGCAGUGGGAAAUAUUGGAAAAUGGACCGAGAGUGUGAAGAAGGAAUUCGGUGUGCACAAUGAAGUUUUUCGGAAUGAAAAGUGCUUUCAGUUGGGAAGAAAAAAAUGACGGUACCAACAGAAGAAGCAACGGCUAACUACGUG
rnacentral:rRNA from 1 species